rnacentral:rRNA from 1 species
GGAAUAUUGGUCAAUGGAGGGAACUCUGAACCAGCCAUGCCGCGUGAGGGAAGAAGGCCCUACGGGUUGUAAACCUCUUUUAGCCGGGAGUAAUAAGGCUCAUGCGUGGGCCGAUGAGAGUACCGGCGGAAUAAGCAUCGGCUAACUCCGUGCCAGCAGCCGCGGUAAUAUGGAGGAUGCGAGCGUUAUCCGGAUUUAUUGGGUUUAAAGGGUGCGCAGGCGGCGCGUUAAGUCAGCGGUGAAAUGUCCCGGCUCAACCGGGGAGCUGCCGUUGAUACUGGCGUGCUGGGGUGCGGACGGCGCCGGCGGAAUUAGUGGUGUAGCGGUGAAAUGCAUAGAUAUCACUCAGAACACCGAUCGCGAAGGCAGCUGGCGAGGCCGCUACUGACGCUGAGGCACGAAAGCGUGGGGAUCAAACA